GAUUUUUGGUGUUAAUAUAAACGCCAUUGUGUUUUUUAUUUCAAAUGUCAAUUGUUCACUGGUGGCAUAUAGGGAAACAAUUGACUUCUGUAUAUACGAGAAGAUUUUAAAAAUCAAAUAUAUUACUGAUUACAGCUGGAUUUCAGGAUAUUAACAGAAUUGUGGCUUUUUAACACCAUAUGAUGCAUUUGACAUUUUUCCCUACCCACUUUCAACACAGCUGAACAGCCACAGGCCUCUCCCAGACUACCGAAGGAAGAUCACCGCAGAGCGAAACUGAGAAUGUGCCCUGAGAACAGGCACCUCCACAAGGAGAGAGAAAAGCCCAGGAGAGGCAGAGCCUGUGUUACCAGCAAACAAAUCACUCCUUCUCUCUUGGGCAGGGGCAACGUCAGCGGCUGAGAGAGUCUAGGAACUUCUACUCAAGCAGAGCUGCCCAUCAAGGAGAUCUGAGACUGACGAAGGGGAAUUCUCUCAAACAUUCUCCACUAGUCACUCCAACUUGAAAAUACUUAAAACAUUAAGACAGACAGUGAAAGUUAAAGGUGGCGUCAAAAACGUACUUUACCGCGUGCAUGUGCUUAUGUGUGUGCAUAUGCGUGCAUAUCCCUUCCAUCCCAUUCAUCAAACUUCUGUAAAAGCAGUCCUAUUAAAAUAUUGUCACCUAAGGCCUGGGCUUCCUACAUACAUGAUCCUGAUGGACAGCAAAAUCUGUGGUAUGACAAAUGGCAUCUGACAUCCAGGAAGGAACAUAUCCUAAAAAAUAAGUCCAUAUCUCUCAUCCAUCUCUAAUUUCAAGGGACAGGCUUUCGUGCAAGAUCUGUAUCUGCCUCUGCCUUCCACAAACACCAAGUCUUAGAUUUCUGGCUCUAUAAUCAACUUGGCUGAAACACAGCCACAACACGAUUUGAGUUAAAUUUUGUUCCCAUAAAGAACUCUGACAUACUGCUUGUCUGAAAGUGAUUUCUAAGGAGAAAAAUAUAGGUAAGUAAGCUAUCAAUCAAAGAAAAUAUAUUUUCCUAGUUUUAAGAAGUGUGCUUAAAGAAUUCAUAUUUUUGCAUUUGUAUAUAAUAUCUGUCAAUGGAUUUGAGCUAUUUCAGGAGAAUAUUUAUAAUAGACAUUAACUAUUUAGGACCUUUCUUCUGAGGAGUUCAAAGCACAGUACUGUGUAUUAGCCAGGGUUCUCCAGAGAGACAGAAUGAGUAGGAGAGAUAGGUAGAUAGAUGAGGGAAUUUAUUAGGGAAUUUGGCUCACAUGAUUAUGGAGGCUGAGAAGUCCCAUGACAGGCCUGCUGCAAGCUGGUGACAAUGGGAUGGUGACAGUGUGGCUCAGUCCUAGUUCAAAACCUCAGAAGGGGGGACACAGAUGAUGUAAUUCUUAGUUCAAUGACAAAGGCCUGAGUGAGACAUGGGGAGGGGUGGGCACUGGCAUAGUCCUGGAAUCCAAAGGCCAGAGAGCCUGGAGUUCUGAUGUCCAAAAGCAGGAGAAGAGCAUCCCAGCUCCAGGAGGGUGAAAGAGAAAGGAAAUCUCUUUUCCUCUUCCUUAUCUGUUCUAUCUGGGCCUUCAUCCAAAUGGAU
rnacentral:lncRNA from 1 species